CCCCUCUCAGGGUCGCACCUAGAGACUUUCCAGUACUCUCCCAGUCUCGACUUCGGGAGGGAGAAUCAAGCAGAAACCUACCCAUUCCAUUCCUAGCUUGGGUAGUGGCUAGCGAGUGGAAGACAAUCUGCUAUCAAG
rnacentral:snoRNA from 2 species